CCUACGGGGGGCAGCAGUGAGGAAUAUUGGUCAAUGGGCGGGAGCCUGAACCAGCCAAGCCGCGUGAAGGAAGAAGGCGCCAGGCGUCGUAAACUUCUUUUGUCGGGGAACAAAGGGCGCCACGCGUGGCGUUGUGAGUGUACUUGAAGAAAAAGCAUCGGCUAACUCCGUGCCAGCAGCCGCGGUAAUACGGAGGAUGCGAGCGUUAUCCGGAUUUAUUGGGUUUAAAGGGUGCGUAGGCGGUCGGGAAAGUCAGCGGGAAAAGCCUGGGGCUCAACCGCGGCGAGCAGUUGAAACGGGCAGACUAGAGACGGCGAGAGGUACGCGGAAUGCGCGGUGUAGCGGUGAAAUGCAUAGAUAUCGCGAAGAACUCCGAUUGCGAAGGCAGCGUACCGGCGCCGGACUGACGCUGAGGCACGAAAGCGUGGGUAUCGAACAGGAUUAGAUACCCUAGUAGUC
rnacentral:rRNA from 1 species